UUGACAGCCUUGGAGACUGAAGCCCUCUAUUUAUCUACAGAACAGGUACAGACAGCCUGGGCAGCGGCAGUGCUAGCUUCCACACUUCCCCCACCACCGUGCCUCAACCUUGACCUGGAGGAACCACCUUUAGAGGUGAGAGGGGAACUCAGUCUCCAUGUCCAUUCAGACCUUGGCCUCU
ensembl:misc_RNA